rnacentral:rRNA from 1 species
AUGGCUAGGACGGAUGCCUUCCAACGCCGCCGGCUGUGCGCGGACGAGGACCGCCUCGGCGCCCUCCCCGACGAUCUCCUCCUUGACAUCCUGCGCCGCCUCGACACCCGCACCGCGCUCGGUGCUGCGGCGCUCUCCAGGCGUUGGACCAGCCUGCCCCGCGAGGUCCCCGUCCUGGACCUCAAGGUCAGCGACAUACUGCCGCCGCGCUACCACCGGUGCUUCCGCCUCCGCGAAGAUGCCAGGGAUUCGAAAAUCAGCUCCACCUUGUCUGACAGGAGGCUUCUAGAGGCUAUCACCGCCCGGUACGAGCGCCGCGCCAUGCAAUCUAUGGUCUGCUCCGUCAAGAGCCUCCUGGCCAGCCCCGCUCGCCGGCGCGUGGAGAGGCUGUCGCUCGAGGUCUUGUCGGUCCCCACGCCGGCAGCCGCCUACGAGGAAGCGGUAGCCGCGUGCCCGCAGUUGCAAGUGCUACACAUCCUUUCAUGCGAGAUCAAGAUAAGUGCCUGCAUGGUGGUUCUUGAUGCGCCCAAAUCGGAAAUCAGGGAGCUUGUACUCGGCGGCAAGCUCAUGUCGGUGGAGAUCCGGUCUCUCCCGAAGCUCGAGAGUCUCGCUAGCCAGGAAGCUACCGUGCUGCUUUGCUCCGCCGCCGCCACCCCGUGCCUUGCACACGUGAGCCUCGCCUUCUCGGUUGGCCGACUGGAAGGGGGCGGUUUACCUGGACUAAACCGCUCCUAUCGCGACUUCUUGAUUCAGCGGCUCGUGCAGUUCUUCCAGGGCGCCAUCACCAUGAAGGAUCUCGUCUUACGGUUUACUGGGCCAGAGAUGUGGAUCAUGCCGAAGAAUCCCUUCUCUGCAAUGUCGAACCUGAGAAGGCUGCUGGUCGCCGACGUGCCUUCCUCAUGGGACGCCUCAUGGCCGUGCCUGCUCAUCGAGGCGGCGCCGUUACUUGAGAGCCUAUAUGUGCAUGUCUCCCACAGAGAAGAUGAGCCAAGACAGGAGGUGCCGGGGGAGACCUCGGCUUCGCGCCAUCGCCAUUUGAAGGAGCUGGUUGUCAUUGGAUUCCAGAGGACGGAGAGGCAGAUGCACCUUGUGAGGUUCGCCGUGGAGGUAUCCAUGGCGCUGCGGCGUGUCGCACUGCUCUAG